CUUGGAAAUUGGAAUGACAAUCAAUCCCAACAACAACUGCGACUGAGGUAGUGAUAAAAGACAUAUAUUUGAGGCCAAGAAAAAGUCAUCGAGAGAAAAGGCAAAGAGAGGUGACUUGGAGAGAAAAGGCAAAAAUUAUUUCAUAUCUCUUUUGAUUGUAUUUCUAUUUUAUAUCUUGUAUAUGAGAAGUAUCUCUUGCUAAGUUGGGUGAGCAAUUAGUGGUUGUAUCAUUAUCUUGAGAGGAUUCCCUUGCUUGCUAAGUUGGGUGAGCACUUAGUGAUUAAAAGUCUAGAGAGUGAACCUAGCCAAAUCAAAUUUGGGUAGAAGUUUAGUUUGUCCCUGAUAGAAUUAGGUUGAAUCCUUGAGAAUUAGUGUAUGUAAUACUUGAAAAGAUAGUGAAAAUUUCACCUGUGUUGUGAUAAAAAUUGGAUGUAGGGUAUAUUGCACAAGGUAGUUAAACCAGGAUACAUGGCUGAGUCAUUUUUUUCUCCUCUGCUCUGUUUCUAUUUUCGAUUAUUAUGAGACAAAAUGAAAUUGUCUCCUGCAUAAUCCAUCUCGUAGUCUGAACAGAAGCUUAGUUUUAUUUUCUGGUUUGAUGAUUAAUUAAUCAAGUUUAAAAGAAGGUCAUAUAUUCAACUCCCCUUCUCUAAGCCAUCAAGAACUUUCAAUUAGUAUCAGAACUUGGUCUCAAGAAUCAAGUUUCAUAGCUUGGAAAAAAGAUUUAAUAGCCAAUAAAUUGGAUGCAAGCACUACAACCUACAUGCUCACUGAGGAUCAAUCCAACAACAGACCACAUUUCUUUAAUGGCAAGAACUACAUUUACUGAAAAUAAAGGAUGCAGAUCUUUGUGCAAUCUAUUGACUACAAUAUAUGGAAGAUCAUUGUAAAUAGUCAUCAAGUUCCAACCAAGGCCAGUGUCAAAUGAGUGGUGUCUCCAAAAGAAUAAGCCGAAGGGAACAAGGAGACAAGAAGAAGGUGGAGUUAAAUGCCAAAGUCAUCAACAUGAUGCACUGUGCUAUCAACUUCGAGGAAUAUCGAAAGGUAUCUAAAUACAAAAUGACAAAAGAAAUUUGAGAUAAACUCCAAUUCACUCACAAAGGUACCAAACAAGUCAAAAAAACAAGAAUAGAUAUGUUGCAAAAAGAAUAUGAAAUGUUCUCCAUGAAAGAAGGAGAAGAAGAACUUGAUGAAAAACUUGAUUGCGAUGCGCAAGUGUACUUCAUGGCCGACAAUGAACAACUACAAGAGGUAUUUUCUGGCUGAAAUUGAGGGAGCUGAGCAAAAAUCUGAGUUAGGCUGAAAAAGGACUGCUGAUGCUGUUGGAUCCUGACCUCCCUGCACUCGGAAUAGAUUUUUUGGAGCUACAGGAGUCCAAUUGGCGCGCUCUCAACGGCGUUGGAAAGUAGACAUCUAGGGUUUUCCAGCAAUAUAUAAUAGUCCAUACUUUGCGCGAAGAUAGAUGACGUAACUUGGCGUUGAACGCCAAGUUCAUGCUGCUGUCUGGAGUUAAACGCCAGAAAAACGUCAUGAUCCGGAGUUGAACGCCCAAAACACGUCAUAACUUGGAGUUUAACUCCAAGAAAGGCCUCUAAUCGUGGAUAGCUUUAGUCUCAACCCCAGCACACACCAAGUGGGCCCCAGGAGUGGAUUUCUGCACCAAUUAUCUUAGUUUACUCAUAUUCUGUAAACCUAGGUUACUAGUUUACUAUUUAAACAACUUUUAGAGAUUUAUCUUGUACCUCAUGACAUUUUCAGAUCUGAAUUACAUACUUUGUGACGGCAUGAGUCUCUAAACUCCAUUGUUGGGGGUGAGGAGCUCUGCAGCGUCUCGAUGAUUUAAUAC